UGUUCCUGAUGUGCUUUAUUGUGGAGCCAUAUUCAUUAUGGGUGGAAACUGGUCCUUUAUGGCAAAUGUUUUGAAGUGGUGGCAGUCUUUCAAGAUCCCUCAUGAUUCAACGUCCCAACGGUACAACCUGUCAGCCCUAAACAUGGAGAGUAAAGGGGAAACUUAGCGAUACGGUGACCUUGAUGAUAGUGUGGCAGUCAUCCGUGAAGAACCUUGUUCCACCCGGAGGAGAUGAAGAUAUUUAGGUCCAUGUACCUAAGCCCAUUUAGGCGCCACUAGCAUCGGCUCAAGCUAAAAUAGAGGACUGUUUUCAGAGGACGCGAUGGGCUUGCGUGAGACAGGUACUCCCAGAGCAGAAGAGGACACCCUGUGCAGGUUUAGAUUACAAUUAAUAGCUUGCUGCAGGUAAGUGAUUAAGAGUUACCUGGUAAUGACCCCGGGAGGCUAACUACAGAAGGAGGAGAAAUGAUGACAGCUCCUCAAGCCCAGCGCGUCAGGCCGCAAUUUAAGGUGGCCGAUUUGGAACGCUCCCCAUGAGCCAGCAACACAAUGGAGGAGUACACUUUCCCGCUCUGUAAUUAAGGUCCAUUGAGUGAAAUUACCUUCCGAUAAUUACCGGGUAGUUGUCAGCGUUUGUUAUAGCGUGGUGAGGCUCUGUCUUCCUCGCCUGGAGGCUGGACUGGGUUGGGCCUGCUAGCCUUCAGCUCAUGUUGGUGCUCUGUUGAGAGGAGGGGCUGGUCGUGUCAGAAACGAGGAGAUGAACGCUCAAGAAGCACGGCAGAAUUUUUGACAGAACAUCAGGCCUCAUCUGGCAUCCUGGAACUCGGACCUCAUUGUGGUGAUGAUGGAUUUUGAAUUCAUGUCAUCCUAUUUUUUUAUAAAUAUAUUUUUAAUGUAAAUGUAUAUCAGUAGUAUUUAUAUAAAAUUGUAGUACUUAUUAAUAUUUUGAAUUAGCUUUUAUAUUUUUAGGUUUUAGUCAUUUUAAUUUAUUUCAUUUUAGCUUUAAUUAUGUUUAAUAAA